rnacentral:rRNA from 1 species
GACGUAGGGGGCAAGCGUUAUUCGGAAUUAUUGGGCGUAAAGCGCUCGUAGGCGGGACUGGAAGUCCGUGUUGAAAGACCUCGGCUCAACUGAGGGACCGGCUCGGAUACUCUAGUUCUUGAGGCAAUCAGAGGGUGAUGGAAUUCCCGGUGUAGCGGUGGAAUGCGUAGAUAUCGGGAGGAACACCAGUGGCGAAGGCGAUCACCUGGGGUUGUUCUGACGCUGAGGAGCGAAAGCUAGGGGAGCAAACGGG